AUGACCAUCUGACCUCAAAUCAGGUAGGACUACCCGCUGAACUUAAGCAUAUCAAUAAGCGGAGGAAAAGAAACUAACAAGGAUUCCCCUAGUAACUGCGAGUGAAGCGGGAUAAGCUCAAAUUUAAAAUCUGGCGGUUAUGCCGUCCGAGUUGUAGUCUGGAGAAGUGCUUUCUGC
rnacentral:rRNA from 1 species